GUCGUGUUGAAAGGAACGUAUGGAAGUGAAACCUAGAGGACUUGGAGAAACAGUUUGGCCGAAGAAUAGUUCCUCACGAAUAAAAUUAAGUAACGCUUACGCUAUCUAAAGUCGACUAACCCGCACAGAAGCAGGUCUACAUUGAAGAUGCAUCCAAGACGCACCAGUCGGCAAACUCCUCUCCCGCUGCAAAAACUUCUGCCGGCUUCAGAGAGACAUUACAGAAACCCAUGUCCGGCCGCUUCCGCCGGCGAGCAGCGUUACCACAUCGCCCUUGUGCACCGAAACCGCAUCCGAGCAGUAGUUCUCCGUGAUGGCAAGCAGUGUCUGCCGAACGGCGGCCGCAGCGGCGGCUCCCGCUGUGCAAACUCCACUCCCAGGCACUGAUAACGUCCCAUUUCCGUUGGUCGUACCGAAUCCACCUGUUGCUAGACAGCAUCAAACACAACGGCCACUCGUUCAACAUCCAACCAACUCUGCUGUCUAGAGACGACCAACAAAGCGUAUGCAAUGAGCGCUAUCGCCGGUAUCUACGUCACUCGAUCUGUCCCAUUUCAUGUCAACGCCGGUACGGCAGCAUAACAGUGAGGAGUGAAACGAAACCCGGGCCAUAGGCAAACGCUCCCGCAGCAGCAUAACAACCUUACCCUCAACCGCCCCCAGACCACGGCAACUAAAACAAAAGAUUAAACCCGAUCCUGCCCGAUGA